rnacentral:rRNA from 1 species
GACGAACGCUGGCGGCGUGCCUAAUACAUGCAAGUCGAGCGGCCGACUCGAAAGCUUGCUUUUGGUUCGUUAGCGGCGGACGGGAGAGUAACAUGUGGGCAACAUGCCCUGUAGACGGGGAUAACUCCGAGAAAUCGGUGCUAAUACAGGAUAACACGAAAUGUGGCAUGACGUUUCGUUGAUAGACGGCGCAAGCUGCUGAUACCGGAUGGGCGCGCGGCGCCUUAGCUAGUCGGUGAGGUAAAGGAUCCACAAGGCGACGAUACGUAGGCGACCUCAGAGGGUGAUCGGCCACACUGGGACUGGAACACGGCCAAGACUCUUGGGGGAGGGAGCAGUAGGGAAUCUUCCGGGAUGGACGAAGGUCGGACGGUGCAACGCCGCGUGAGAGAAGAAGGCCGUCAGGUCGUAAAGCUCUGGUGGGAGGGAAGAACAAGAAACGCAGUAACUGGCGAUAACAUGACGGUACCUAACGGGAAAGGCACGGCUAACUACGUG